rnacentral:snoRNA from 2 species
GUUUUGCUAUGAUGACGCCUAUUAGGACGGUAUCUUAAGGGUGUGGCUUUUAAGUGCAGCUCUUGUGAUUAUACCAAAACUGAAUAUGGUUUCUGAGCAAAUU